rnacentral:rRNA from 1 species
UACGUAGGGUGCAAGCGUUGUCCGGAAUUAUUGGGCGUAAAGAGCUUGUAGGCGGUUUGUCGCGUCUGCUGUGAAAUUUCGGGGCUCAACCCCCGAACUUGCAGUGGGUACGGGCAGACUAGAGUGUGGUAGGGGAGACUGGAAUUCCAGGUGUAGCGGUGAAAUGCGUAGAUAUCUGGAGGAACACCGGUGGCGAAGGCGGCAUCCUGGACCAACACUGACGCUGAGGAGCGAAAGCCAGGGGAGCAAAGCGGG